rnacentral:rRNA from 1 species
GGCACUACGGUGCUGAAGCAACAAAUGCCCUGCUUCCAGGAAAAGCCUCUAAGCAUCAGGUAACAUCAAAUCGUACCCCAAACCGACACAGGUGGUCAGGUAGAGAAUACCAAGGCGCUUGAGAGAACUCGGGUGAAGGAACUAGGCAAAAUGGUGCCGUAACUUCGGGAGAAGGCACGCUGAUAUGUAGGUGAAGCGACUUGCUCGUGGAGCUGAAAUCAGUCGAAGAUACCAGCUGGCUGCAACUGUUUAUUAAAAACACAGCACUGUGCAAACACGAAAGUGGACGUAUACGGUGUGACGCCUGCCCGGUGCCGGAAGGUUAAUUGAUGGGGUUAGCGGUAACGCGAAGCUCUUGAUCGAAGCCCCGGUAAACGGCGGCCGUAACUAUAACGGUCCUAAGGUAGCGAAAUUCCUUGUCGGGUAAGUUCCGACCUGCACGAAUGGCGUAAUGAUGGCCAGGCUGUCUCCACCCGAGACUCAGUGAAAUUGAACUCGCUGUGAAGAUGCAGUGUACCCGCGGCAAGACGGAAAGACCCCGUGAACCUUUACUAUAGCUUGACACUGAACAUUGAGCCUUGAUGUGUAGGAUAGGUGGGAGGCUUUGAAGUGUGGACGCCAGUCUGCAUGGAGCCGACCUUGAAAUACCACCCUUUAAUGUUUGAUGUUCUAACGUUGGCCCGUUAUCCGGGUUGCGGACAGUGUCUGGUGGGUAGUUUGACUGGGGCGGUCUCCUCCUAAAGAGUAACGGAGGAGCACGAAGGUUGGCUAAUCCUGGUCGGACAUCAGGAGGUUAGUGCAAUGGCAUAAGCCAGCUUGACUGCGAGCGUGACGGCGCGAGCAGGUGCGAAAGCAGGUCAUAGUGAUCCGGUGGUUCUGAAUGGAAGGGCCAUCGCUCAACGGAUAAAAGGUACUCCGGGGAUAACAGGCUGAUACCGCCCAAGAGUUCAUAUCGACGGCGGUGUUUGGCACCUCGAUGUCGGCUCAUCACAUCCUGGGGCUGAAGUAGGUCCCAAGGGUAUGGCUGUUCGCCAUUUAAAGUGGUACGCGAGCUGGGUUUAGAACGUCGUGAGACAGUUCGGUCCCUAUCUGCCGUGGGCGCUGGAGAACUGAGGGGGGCUGCUCCUAGUACGAGAGGACCGGAGUGGACGCAUCACUGGUGUUCGGGUUGUCAUGCCAAUGGCACUGCCCGGUAGCUAAAUGCGGAAGAGAUAAGUGCUGAAAGCAUCUAAGCACGAAACUUGCCCCGAGAUGAGUUCUCCCUGACUCCCUGAGAGUCCUGAAGGAACGUUGAAGACGACGACGUUGAUAGGCCGGGUGUGUAAGCGCAGCGAUGCGUUGAGCUAACCGGUACUAAUGAACCGUGAGG